CCUGAGUGUCCCUGUGUCUGAGAGUCACCUCUACCUGCCAAAUCUGAUCACCUUCUCUGGCUCCCAGCCCCUUGCUCUUGGCUCUUGUGUGAAUGGUGGCUGCCAAUCUCAAUACCCGCUCAACAUAUUUUUUUUUUUCCAGAUAGUGGAUAAAGCACUGCUUUCAAGCAUAUAUUCCUGUUACCUAGCCUGCACACCUUGAUGUCUUCUCCAGUCCUUCCAUCCAGAGCACAGCAAAUGUCAAAGUCAGCCAAGCUGGCAAAUGAGUUGUGAUGACUGGAUUCUUCACCACUGGUAGCAACAAGAAAGUCUGUCUCCAGUCUUUCCUGACCUGUCAUCCUCCUGUUCUGGAAACUCAAAGCUCCUUGGACUCCUGCUCCCCACAAGGGGAUAAGUGUCCCAUCAGUAUUAGGGGAAACUUUCUCUUUGCACACUGAAGUGACUUUGUGACAAAACUUUAUGCUGGGGCAAAUGGACCUCCAGAGAAGCGGAUGGUUGAGU
rnacentral:lncRNA from 1 species